rnacentral:rRNA from 3 species
GGAAUCUGGGAGGACCAUCUCCUAAGGCUAAAUACUCUCUAGUGACCGAUAGUGAACCAGUACCGUGAGGGAAAGGUGAAAAGCACCCCGGAAGGAGAGUGAAAUAGAACCUGAAACCGUGUGCUUACAAGUAGUCAGAGCCCGUUAAUGGGUGAUGGCGUGCCUUUUGUAGAAUGAACCGGCGAGUUACGAUUUGAUGCAAGGUUAAGCAGUAAAUGUGGAGCCGUAGCGAAAGCGAGUCUGAAUAGGGCGUUUAGUAUUUGGUCGUAGACCCGAAACCAGGUGAUCUACCCUUGGUCAGGUUGAAGUUCAGGUAACACUGAAUGGAGGACCGAACCGACUUACGUUGAAAAGUGAGCGGAUGAACUGAGGGUAGCGGAGAAAUUCCAAUCGAACCUGGAGAUAGCUGGUUCUCUCCGAAAUAGCUUUAGGGCUAGCCUCAAGUGAUGAUUAUUGGAGGUAGAGCACUGUUUGGACGAGGGGCCCCUCUCGGGUUACCGAAUUCAGACAAACUCCGAAUGCCAAUUAAUUUAACUUGGGAGUCAGAACAUGGGUGAUAAGGUCCGUGUUCGAAAGGGAAACAGCCCAGACCACCAGCUAAGGUCCCAAAAUAUAUGUUAAGUGGAAAAGGAUGUGGCGUUGCCCAGACAACUAGGAUGUUGGCUUAGAAGCAGCCAUCAUUUAAAGAGUGCGUAAUAGCUCACUAGUCGAGUGACACUGCGCCGAAAAUGUACCGGGGCUAAACAUAUUACCGAAGCUGUGGAUUGUCCUUUGGACAAUGGUAGGAGAGCGUUCUAAGGGCGUUGAAGCAUGAUCGUAAGGACAUGUGGAGCGCUUAGAAGUGAGAAUGCCGGUGUGAGUAGCGAAAGACGGGUGAGAAUCCCGUCCACCGAUUGACUAAGGUUUCCAGAGGAAGGCUCGUCCGCUCUGGGUUAGUCGGGUCCUAAGCUGAGGCCGACAGGCGUAGGCGAUGGAUAACAGGUUGAUAUUCCUGUACCACCUAUAAUCGUUUUAAUCGAUGGGGGGACGCAGUAGGAUAGGCGAAGCGUGCGAUUGGAUUGCACGUCUAAGCAGUAAGGCUGAGUAUUAGGCAAAUCCGGUACUCGUUAAGGCUGAGCUGUGAUGGGGAGAAGACAUUGUGUCUUCGAGUCGUUGAUUUCACACUGCCGAGAAAAGCCUCUAGAUAGAAAAUAGGUGCCCGUACCGCAAACCGACACAGGUAGUCAAGAUGAGAAUUCUAAGGUGAGCGAGCGAACUCUCGUUAAGGAACUCGGCAAAAUGACCCCGUAACUUCGGGAGAAGGGGUGCUCUUUAGGGUUAACGCCCAGAAGAGCCGCAGUGAAUAGGCCCAAGCGACUGUUUAUCAAAAACACAGGUCUCUGCUAAACCGUAAGGUGAUGUAUAGGGGCUGACGCCUGCCCGGUGCUGGAAGGUUAAGAGGAGUGGUUAGCUUCUGCGAAGCUACGAAUCGAAGCCCCAGUAAACGGCGGCCGUAACUAUAACGGUCCUAAGGUAGCGAAAUUCCUUGUCGGGUAAGUUCCGACCCGCACGAAAGGCGUAACGAUUUGGGCACUGUCUCAACGAGAGACUCGGUGAAAUCAUAGUACCUGUGAAGAUGCAGGUUACCCGCGACAGGACGGAAAGACCCCGUGGAGCUUUACUGUAGCCUGAUAUUGAAAUUCGGCACAGCUUGUACAGGAUAGGUAGGAGCCUUUGAAACGUGAGCGCUAGCUUACGUGGAGGCGCUGGUGGGAUACUACCCUAGCUGUGUUGGCUUUCUAACCCGCACCACUUAUCGUGGUGGGAGACAGUGUCAGGCGGGCAGUUUGACUGGGGCGGUCGCCUCCUAAAAGGUAACGGAGGCGCUCAAAGGUUCCCUCAGAAUGGUUGGAAAUCAUUCAUAGAGUGUAAAGGCAUAAGGGAGCUUGACUGCGAGACCUACAAGUCGAGCAGGGUCGAAAGACGGACUUAGUGAUCCGGUGGUUCCGCAUGGAAGGGCCAUCGCUCAACGGAUAAAAGCUACCCCGGGGAUAACAGGCUUAUCUCCCCCAAGAGUUCACAUCGACGGGGAGGUUUGGCACCUCGAUGUCGGCUCAUCGCAUCCUGGGGCUGUAGUCGGUCCCAAGGGUUGGGCUGUUCGCCCAUUAAAGCGGUACGCGAGCUGGGUUCAGAACGUCGUGAGACAGUUCGGUCCCUAUCCGUCGUGGGCGUAGGAAAUUUGAGAGGAGCUGUCCUUAGUACGAGAGGACCGGGAUGGACAUACCUCUGGUGUACCAGUUGUCGUGCCAACGGCAUAGCUGGGUAGCUAUGUGUGGACGGGAUAAGUGCUGAAAGCAUCUAAGCAUGAAGCCCCCCUCAAGAUGAGAUUUCCCAACUUCGGUUAUAAGAUCCCUCAAAGAUGAUGAGGUUAAUAGGUUCGAGGUGGAAGCAUGGUGACAUGUGGAGCUGACGAAUACUAAUCGAUCGAAGACUUAAUCAA